rnacentral:pre_miRNA from 1 species
GUUGCAUUUACAGUAGUUGCUGGACGCAGCACAAGACUACCUUUUGACAGAUCUUGUGCGUGUGACAGCGGCUAUCGUAAUAUGCGCAAAGCAGCUCU